rnacentral:sRNA from 1 species
UGAGAAUCAAGAUCUCUUUCUUCUUUCACAUUUUGAAGUCAACAACACUUCUAUCAAGCUAUAUCAUUCAUUCAAUAUAAUCUAGUUCACACUUUCAAAGUCAAGAUGUGUAUUUCAACCAAGUUCAUGAGUGAAGAGGAGGAUAGGUUUUUAUGCUUGUCCUCAGCAGCCUACGAUGUCGGAUGGUUUCAAAAGAGGGAACCUAUUGAAGUAGCUUUUUUAUAGCCUCGAAGAAAAUUUGAUAAUGAAGCCAAAAGACAUUUCAAUUCCUA